rnacentral:lncRNA from 1 species
GGUGGGGAGCCAGGAUUUGCGGGUUCGGGUCCCAGAAGGAUCCAGUGUCCGGAGCCCCGAGGGCCGGCCCGAGGCCCCUCCCACUCCGUCAGGUCUUUGUCCAGCGGCCCCUGUGUGUGAGGGAGGGGGGGGUGGGGACUGGGUUCCAGGCCCGGAGAUUCCCCAGCAUCGUGACGGGGCAGUGACAGGAGACUGAGGCCACUUGGGGCCCUGCGGGCCCUGCGACCCUCACACCCACACCCUGCCUUUCUUCUCUCCUGGCCCGAGAGAGCUUAGCCCCCAUCUCGGAGUCAGAGUGUUGCAGGAAGCCACAUUUACCUUCACCCGUGGGUUAUAGGCUGCCAGGGGGACCCUCUGAGCUCCCAGCUCUCUCUCAUGAGCCCUUUAAACUUCCCCACUCUUGGUCUACACAGUGAUUCCCUUGCUAAGGAAAUCGCUUUAUAGAGGGUCCUCUGCAAGGGUUGGGCACACAGUAAAGGUUGGGUGCUCAGCAAAGGUAGGUCUCCCUUCUCGACCCUUCCAGUCCCGGUGGCCUCUCCGGCGGGGGAGAUCUGGAAAAGGGGCUGUGCGAGGGCGAGCGUGAGCGGCCUGGAGCCUGCGCCCAGCAGCGGCCGGGAGCCUGGAGCGCAGGGGUGGGUGGACGGGUGGGUGGGCUGUUAAAGGGACGGUCACUAAAUCAGGAUUAGGCCGUGGGGCUGUCAGGCUGCCAGGCCCUGUCUCCAUGGAUACCUAAUUUGGAGGAGAAUAGAGGACGGAAGAAUGUUUGUGUUGUCGUACGCCAGGGCCGCCAGGGCCGCAGCGGCUGAGCGGACCUCAGCCCUCGGCCAGGCAGCGAGAAAUGGCAAGCCGGUUCGAAUCCCACUCUGGCCUUCCGCGGGGCAGGAGACCUUCUCGGUGCUCGGGCUCCAGAGCCUUCCCUGUGGAGUCGCUGGAGUGGGCCAGAUAGUGCCAUGGUCCAAAGAACUCUGACCCUGCACAGGGAGCCCGAGACCCACCCAGAGUUCAACCCGAACCCCCGUGCGUCCUUCUGGGAACGGCCGGACUGGGGUUCUCCCGAGCCCCCAUCCAGGAAUUCCGCCGGGAGCAAACGCCGUUCUCUGCUGUGCAGUGGCCCGGGGAGGACAGUCGGACCGGGCAGCUCAGUACUUGGCGCUGCGGGACCCAGCCGCGCGCGGGUACCAGGCGGCCGCCGGAGCGGCGGGGCAGGGGGCGGGGCGGGACUUCCUGGGGUGGGCGAGAAAGGGGCGGGGCCUGCCGCCGGCCUCACUCCGCCGGUGACAGGCCUCGUAAAUCCCCCUCUCCCGUAUUUAGCGCCGUUUCAUUAAUUUCCACUUGAUUCCAGCGGUGUUCCCAACAGCCACCCCUGUCAGGAGCGACCCUCGUGCUCUCCCAGUAGUAUAUUCUCAGGAGAGCCCUCUUGGGGCUAAAAGGAAUUAGCUUUGUGGGGCAGUGGAGUUGCCCGACACCCCCCACUUUUCAGGGGACCCCCAUCUCCCCGGGAGCAGAAGAGGAGGGCAGAGAGACACAGGGAUGUGUUGGGCCUGCGGGGGCCUGCGGGAUUUUUUGGCUGUGGCGUAAAGGUGGGCUGGGCUGAGGAUCCCGUGGGUGGACAAUUCCAGUGCGCAGACUGGAGGGGGGCAGGAGAGGGACCAGACCGGAUUGUGUUGUUCUCAGAGCCUUUUCCUGCCUUCCUCCUGGUCAUCCAUGGCCACAGCUUUUUAUGGAGCAAGCAUCCCCUCCCCUCCCCUCCCUGGGCUGCAGCUUUAUUGCUGAGACCUCAGACUCUCCACGCAAUUUCACGCCUCUCUGCCUUUGCUCUUGCUGUUCCCUCAGCCAAAUGCCUUCCCCAUUGUCCCUGUCUCUCCACAACCUCCUCAUUCUUCAAGGCCCAACUCAGAUGCCACACUUCCCCCAUGUAGCCUCCCCAGAGCCCCCAGCUCUUGUCACUUGCUCCUCUCUGCACAUUCUAGCCCUGCACCUGUGCCUCCCAUCAGCCUCUGUGGCUGAGUCCACACUAGGCUUUGCCUCCUGGAGGACAGAGCUGGAGCGCAAACUUCCCUGUCCCCCAUCCCCACUGGGCUUGGCACAGGGCCUGGCACCUUGACUUUGCCCCUUCCUUUCCCCACAGGCCAGCAUUCUUUCCCUGCCAUUAUCAUCCUGUUAAACAGAGAGGCCAGUCAGGAUCCAUAUGGAUCACAUUAACAAUUGCUUAUUAUCUGGGCCAAGGCUGCCCCCACUCUCCACCCCCAGCUCCUACUGCUGCAGUUGCUGGACCCUUAGGAGCCCAGCCUCCCUGCCUCCCCCUCCCCCACCACUGGUCCGUCAGGGAGGGCAGGGGCUAGGCUGGUCUCCUGACUCUCCCUGUGCCUUCUCGUGGAACUUGCCGCUUGUGGACUCGGUUGGCAGUUAAUGAUGCCUCUACCUGAUUUAACGAAAACCCAGUUCCCCGCAGGACCUUGGCUCAGUGACGUUCCAGGGCUGCCACAGGGAGAGGGGGCCCUGAGGCCAGGUACACCUGCGGUCAGCAAUACCAAGAGCCUCGGCCUUCCAGUGGGCUGGGGUGAACCCCACUAGGCCGACCAUGGGGAGUAGUGGUGUCUCCUGCCAUCUCAGCCCUGGGCUGGCCCUGCUCCCUUUGGGAGCUGGCAGACUAGUGAGCAAGAGCAAGGCAGAAGAGACCUUACCGGGCUGUGUGGGUCCCGAGCCAUGUGCUGCAGUCAAAGAAGCAAGAAAUCCAAGUUUCCAGAGUGGCUGCUGAGUCGGUCUUGAAGGAUGAGGAAUGGAAUUUAUGUUUAAAUGCAGAAAGCCCAAGAAUACUAGGAGUGGAAGGGAUUGUCAAGAUUGCUCAGGCUUGGGUCCAUAACUGUUUUUUGAUUUACAGACCCCUUAGAGGAAGGACAAAAGCCGUCCCCAGAAAAAUGCACUCCAUCAAUCAAUACCAGACCUUGUGUUCUACUUUGGAGGGUUCCUAGACCCCCUGAACCCACAGGAACCCCACGUCCAGAAACCCUCGCCCUAGUCCAGGUCCCCCUGAAGUGCCGGGAGCAGAGUGGGGCCUGCAGCCCGGGCCUCCUGCCCUCUCCUCUGUGGCAGGUGGACAGGAUGAGCUAUGAGACCAGGGGUAUCGGACGGAGCUGUCGGGGCUGGCUUUGAGUGGGAAAGGUUCAGGCUGCCUGGGUUGGGUAUGGGCUAGUCGUCACAUCUCUGUGUCCCCUGCAGAGAGGAUGUCCAGAUGUCCGGGGUUGUUUGUUUUAGGACCCACUCAUUCCCAGGAACAAGGCUGCAGGGCAAGAAAGUCUAGCUCUUCUCUGAGCCUUCUUUUAAGUGUCUUGAUGAAGCAUGGCUAACUCAUAGCGCUUAUUGCAUAUUCUGUAUCUCAUCUGUGAAAUGGGACUGAUCUUGGUGCCGUCCUCAUAAGCAUUAUCCUGGGGAUGAAAUGAGGCAGGCGCUGGGAGCCCUGUGUCCUAGUCUUGAAAGACUGUGGGCCUGUGAGGCCCUAAUCGGAAGUGCAGAGACAGUGCUCAGGGCUCUAGAGAUUUUCUGUGACUUAUAAUGAGGUUUUGUCCUGAUAAAUCCAUCAGAAGUUGAAAAUAUUAUAAGUCAGGUGUUCCCACUGUGGCUCAGUGGGUUAAGGACCCGAUGAUGCCUCUGUGAGGAUGUAGGUACGAUCCCCGGCCUCUUUCAUUGGGUUAAGGAUCUGGCGUUGUGGCAUGCUAUGGUGUAGGUCACAGAUGCGGCUCGGAUCUGGCGUUGCUGUGGCUGUGGCAUAGGCCGUAGCAGCCGCUUCCAUUCAGGGCCCGGGAACUUGCAUCUGGCAGAGGUGUGGCCAUUAAAAAGAAAAGAUAUUGUCAAAGAUGCAUUUAAUACACCUAACCUACUGAACCUCAGAGCUUAGCCGAGCCUACCUUACAGGUGCUCCGUAUACUUACAUUAGCCUAUAGCGGGGCAAAAUCAUCUAACACGAAGCGUAUUUUAUAAUAAAGUGGUCGAUAUUGCGUAUAAGUCAUGAAAGACGGUACUGCAAGGGAAAAACAGAAUGGCUUGAUGGUGCAGAAUGGCUGUGAGUGUUUCUGCUGUUUAGCCUCGUGAUUGCCCGGCUGACUGGGAGCUGCAGCUCACUGCCACGGCCCAGCAGGGGAUCACACGUGGGUUGUACCUCGCUAGCCUAGGAAAAGAUCAAAAUUCACAAUUCAAAGUACAAUUUCUAGGAGUUUCUGUUGUAGCUCAGUGGUUAAUGAAUCCAACGAGGAAUGAUGAGGUUGUGGGUUUGAUCCCUGGUCUUGCUCAGUGGGUUGGGGAUCUGGCGUUGCUGGGAGCUGCGGUGCAGGUUGCAGAUGCUGUGGCUGGGGCCUAGGUGGCGAGCUACAGCUCCGAUUAGACCCCUAGCCUGGGAACCUCCAUAGGCUGCAGGUGUGGCCCUAAAG